UCUCUGCCUUUUCUCUUCCGCAUGCCCUCCUUUUACAAAACACUCAGAGAUUCUCGCACGUCCUCUUCUCCUCUGUUGCCUGCCUCUACACCUCUUCCUCCUCCUCCUUUUCUUCUCUCUUCGUUGGUCUCAGUGCCAUAGAUGCCGCCGUCGCCUUCCCUCUCUCUCGCCGUCGUCUUCCCUCAUUCCUUUGACAAUGUUGAGCUCGGUAUAACAUGUGGAAAGUACUUCCGGGUGUCUUGCCUUAGCAUCAUUGAUGCAGGUGAUUUGGAUGUUAUCAAGACGCUGCUUGGUGAUCAGUGAAGGAGAGUAGGAUGAUACCUCUAUGUUUAGUGUAGUGUUUUGUUUUGAGAUUUGCCCUUUGUUUUCUCUGAAUGAAAUUCUCAAUUUUCUUUGACAAUGUUGUGUUGCUAAGUUUCCAAAUGCUUAGAUUCUACUAUAUGUGUAAGGUGAUCUUCGUUGUGACUUGAUGCAUGGCAUUUUGAGAUUCAUUAAAGUUAAUUUUGUUACAUUAGAUA